rnacentral:rRNA from 1 species
ACGGAGGCAGCAGUGGGGAAUUUUGGACAAUGGGCGCAGCCUGAUCCAGCAAUGCCGCGUGAGUGAAGAAGGCCUUCGGGUUGUAAAGCUCUUUUGUCAGGGAAGAAACGGCUGAGGUUAAUACCUUCGGCUAAUGACGGUACCUGAAGAAUAAGCACCGGCUAACUACGUGCCAGCAGCCGCGGUAAUACGUAGGGUGCAAGCGUUAAUCGGAAUUACUGGGCGUAAAGCGUGCGCAGGCGGUUUUGUAAGUCUGUCGUGAAAGCCCCGGGCUCAACCUGGGAAUUGCGAUGGAGACUGCAAGGCUUGAAUCUGGCAGAGGGGGGUAGAAUUCCACGUGUAGCAGUGAAAUGCGUAGAGAUGUGGAGGAACACCGAUGGCGAAGGCAGCCCCCUGGGUCAAGAUUGACGCUCAUGCACGAAAGCGUGGGGAGCAAACAGGAUUAGAUACCCUGGUAGUCCACGCCCUAAACGAUGUCUACUAGUUGUCCGGGUUUUAAUUAACUUGGUAACGCAGCUAACGCGUGAAGUAGCCCGCCUGGGAGUACGUCGCAG